UGGGGAAUAUUGCGCAAUGGGGGAAACCCUGACGCAGCGACGCCGCGUGAGGGAAUGAAGGCUCUUCGGGUCGUAAACCUCUGUCAGAGAGGGAAGAACGCUGCCCGUGUCCAAUCUCCC
rnacentral:rRNA from 1 species